rnacentral:rRNA from 1 species
UGGGGAAUCUUGCACAAUGGGGGAAACCCUGAUGCAGCGACGCCGCGUGAACGAUGAAGCCCUUCGGGGUGUAAAGUUCUUUCGACGGGGACGAUAAUGACGGUACCCGGAGAAGAAGCUGCGGCUAACUACGUGCCAGCAGCCGCGGUAAUACGUAGGCAGCAAGCGUUGUUCGGAAUUACUGGGCGUAAAGAGUGCGUAGGUGGUUGGCCAAGUUUGGUGUGAAAUCUCCCGGCUUAACUGGGAGGGUGCGCCGAAAACUGGUUGACUAGAGUGUGGGAGAGGGAGGUGGAAUUCCGCGUGUAGCAGUGAAAUGCGUAGAGAUGCGGAGGAACACCGAUGGCGAAGGCAGCCUCCUGGGAUGACACUGACGCUCAUGCACGAAAGCGUGGGGAGCAAACA